UCCUGUAUUUAUUAUAUGUUUUCUGUAAACAAAAUAUAAUUAGGUUUUGUUUUUUACUCAGUCUGACUCUGAUGAGACAAAAAUUGAUAUGGCUUAUUUGGAAGACACUGCCUCCCAAACCAAUACAAGUAAACAUCUAGGUGACAGAAAACUUUAGAAAGAUAGUUUGAGGCCAGAUUUUGGAGAGUCUUUCAGUAUCAAAGUAAAAAUUUCUGUUUGUAUCUUCUAAGUUCCAGGGAACCAUUGAAGGAUUUUUAUUUUUUUAUUGUUAUUAUUUUCAUUAAAGGGUUUUAAACAGGUGAACAAUACGUCUUUUAAGAAGGUUAAGUCAACAAGAUUCAAAUGGAGCAGCAAGCACUAGAGACAAUAAAGAAGUGAAGAAUCAAGUGAGAAUGGAGGAGGUGAAGCUCUUAUCACUAAAAAAAUGUUUAAGUUACUGCUGCAGAUGGUAAGCAUGUAAUAAAUGGCAGCUUUAAGGACUAUUUCAA